rnacentral:rRNA from 1 species
UAGGGAAUCUUCGGCAAUGGACGAAAGUCUGACCGAGCAACGCCGCGUGAGUGAAGAAGGUUUUCGGAUCGUAAAACUCUGUUGUUAGAGAAGAACAAGGACGUUAGUAACUGAACGUCCCCUGACGGUAUCUAACCAGAAAGCCACGGCUAACUACGUGCCAGCAGCCGCGGUAAUACGUAGGUGGCAAGCGUUGUCCGGAUUUAUUGGGCGUAAAGCGAGCGCAGGCGGUUUCUUAAGUCUGAUGUGAAAGCCCCCGGCUCAACCGGGGAGGGUCAUUGGAAACUGGGAGACUUAAGUGCAGAAGAGGAGAGUGGAAUUCCAUGUGUAGCGGUGAAAUGCGUAGAUAUAUGGAGGAACACCAGUGGCGAAGGCGGCUCUCUGGUCUGUAACUGACGCUGAGGCUCGAAAGCGUGGGGAGCAAACCGG